AUUGGGAUCCAUAGGGGUGUCCCCGCUACACGUGAACCAUUUUUCUUAAUAAUCUUAAUUCUAGGGCCGUCCCCAUACCCCGUUCGGUAUGAGUGCCAAGACAUUAAACCUCAAUACCCCGUCCAGUACGAGGGUGAAGCGGGUCGUUCCCAUACCCCAUCUGGUAUGAGCACAAAAUGACCAAGUCUCCAUACCCCGUCCGGUAUAAGACAACGUUCACGGUAGGGUUCCAUAUGAACCCGGUCCGUCCACCAUCUCUCAGGAUAUCUAGUGAGGCUGUCACCUUAUCUGUUUUUCCGUAGUCUCCGUUACCAAGUUAAAUAUAAUCAGAUAAAUAAUAAACAUGCACCCAGUAAUACAAUCAUAUUUUAAAUCCCNNNNNNNNNNNNNNNNNNNNNNNNNNNNNNNNNNNNNGAGUGAGGGGUCCUUACUUGAUUCGACGCUAAAAACUAGAUUGUUACUGCACCUACGGGCGGUCCCUGGGUUCCCUGAAUUUUUUCUCGGGAACUGAAACGCGCUGACGGUACCUACACAUGUCCCAAAUAACCUAAAAAUCAAACCCAGGGCCUACUCGGCCAAUUUUAGAAUUCCGGUACGACGGCUCCGCCGCGCUCCAGCGACGGCACCGCCGCUCGCAGCGACGAUCCGCCUCGGGUUGGCAGUUUUCGGCCAUUUUCGGCCGAAUUCAGCCAAACAUGCAUCGGUUCUCUGUGAGAAAACACACUUAGGCCCUCAGUGGACCAAAAAAUGUAGAAAAUCAAAACUCACCGGCGGUGGGGCUCUCCGAUGCGGCGGCUCCUCUGACUCACUUUGCAGUUGGGUGUUUUGCUUCGGUCAACCUGUAGAGGAUGAGACGAUGAUCACAACAGUGGAAAAAUCACAUCGAACAGGAAUUAGAAAGGGACUCAUCGGAGGCAAAAACUGAAACACCCCGCGGCGGCGCCACUGAGCUUCGGCGGCGUUUUUCGGCCAAUUGGCCGGUUCUUUCACUCCGAUUUGGCCAUGGGUGGGGUUUGAAAUCAAAUUCUGAGCAAAGGAUAAAAUUUUUAUCUCGUUUGACGGUCGAAAAUUGCUCCGGUGCGAUGACGGGUGGCGGCAAUCAGCUCCCCGGCGGCUGGGCUAUCUUCUCCGACGAGGGGCUCUGGCGGCUAGGGUUAGGGUUUGGGUGCGGAUGGGGUUAUUUAUACUCAUCUGCUUUUGAUCUGGGCCGUCCAUUAUUUUUAAUCUAGACCGUCCGAUCGCGAUUAAAUAGGGAGUGAAUCUGAACCGUUCAUUAUGAUUCAAUCUGGACCGUCUGUACGCGAAGCAAUCUGGAUCGUCCGUGCGUAUUUUUGAUCUAGGCUGUCCGUGGGCACGAAAACGGAUCUCAGCUGUUCGUUCGCGCGCACGCGGAUCGCCCAUGUGGCUCUCCCCACGUGGCCUCCCGCGUCAGCGCCUCUGCCACCUAGCGCGUCCUGAUUGGUCGGGGCUACUGACUGGGCAGCUGUCGUGGCGUAACUUUUCUAAAUUAUGUUUCGACCUCCGGUUUUCGAUUUUUCUUUCAAAAAUACCCUCAAAACUCAAAUUUUUACCUCUUUUCUCCAAAAUUGUUUUCAAUUAAAUCCCUAACUAAUUUUUUACCCAUUUUUAUUAUUAUUAUUAUUAUUUUCAUUAAAUCAAAUUAAAUUAAAUUAAAUUAAAUUAAAAUCAUAUAAAUAAUAAUUAUAUUUAUAUAAAUAAUAAUAAUUAAAUAAAAAUAAAAAUAAUUAAAUGUUGGGUGUUACAACUUUCUCCCCCCUUAAAAGAAAUUUGGUCCCUCAAAUUUGCCUCUUACUCUCGAUCGAACAGCUGGGGGUACUGGGCUCUAAAGUCUGAUUUUAGUUCCCAUGUGGCCUCCCUUGGUGUGUGGUUCUGCCAUAUGAUCUUCACGAAGGAUAUCUCUCAGUUGUGGAGUAAUCUGCUCUUUCGAUCCGCAAUGCCGAUUGGUACUUCCUCAUAGGAUAAGUCCUCUGAAGUGGGAGAGGUUCGUGGGCCAAGAUAUGAAGGGGUCUGGGUUGUACUUACAUAGCAUGGGCACAUGAAACACAUUGUGGACCUUAAAAAAUUUUGCAGGCAGUGCUAGUUUGUAGGCGGCGGUACCAAUCCUGUCUAAGACUUCAAAUGGUCCAAUAAAUCGGGAGUUCAGUUUUUCCCUCCUGUCGAAUCUACUAAUUCCCUUGAAAGGAGUGACCUUAAGGAACACCCAGUCGCAUUUCUCAAGCGCUAAAUCUCUCCUUUAGGUGUCCGCAUAACUUUUCUAUCUGCUCUGAGCGGUCUGAAUGUUCCUCUUGAUCUUAACUAUCUUAGAUGUAAUCUCCUCUAUCAGUUCCGGGCCGAAUAAUUUUCUAUCGCCCACUUCUUCCCAACAAAUCGGUGAUCUGCAUGAGUGUCCAUAUAACGCCUCAUACGGAUCCAUGUCGAUGCUCGCUUGGUAGCUGUUGUUGUAGGCAAACUAUAUCAGGGGCAGAUGGUCGUCCCAAUGACCCCCAAAGUCAAGGACACAAGCUUGAAGCAUAUCCUCAAGUAUACGGAUUGUCCUUUCUGAUUGUCCAUCAGUCUGAGGGUGGAAGGCAGUACUGAGGGAUAGUUUCAUUCCCAUGGCUUGCUGAAAGCUACUUCAAAAUCGAGAAGUGAACCUGGGGUCCCUGUCGAACACCAUUGUCACUGGAACUCCAUGCAAUCUGAUUAUUUCCCAGAUAUACAUUCUUGCCAACUUAUCCAAUGGAUCAGUCAUCCUGAUGGCUAAGAAGUGGGAAGACUUGAUAAGCCGGUCAACAAUUACCCAGAUGGCAUCAUGUCCUGAGCNNNNNNNNNNNNNNNNNNNNNNNNNNNNNNNCUAUGGGCAUCUGUCUGCAUGUCUCUCUUUAACUCACUGAUCCCUGGAACACACUCUCUGUUCUGGAAUCAGAGUAACCCAUCAGCAGAUACUCGGAAUUCUGAGCUAACCCCCUGUUCUGCAUCGUUCUUUAGGACUACUAGGGCGGGGUCAGCUGACUGAGUUUCUCUUAUUCUCUAUAUUAACUCAGGCUGGACGGUCAGAUGACCCAAAUAUGUGACUCUGCUCAAGUUCUGAAGUCGAACCUGUUGUAUGGCCCCAAUUUACCUACAUUUUGAAACCAUCAAAUGGGCUGAGAUACCUGUACUUUUUCUGCUGAGUGCAUCGGCUACCACGUUGCCCUUACCCGGAUGGUACGAGAUGUCACAAUCAUAGUUCUUAAGAAGUUCUAUCCAUCUUCUCUUAUGGAUGUUGAGAUCCUUUUGAGUGAAUAUGUGUUUCAAAUUCUUGUGAUCGGUAUAUAUCUAAAAGGUAUCUCCAUACAAAUAAUGACGCCAAGUCUUCAAGGCGUGUAUGAUUGCGGUAAGCUCUAAGUCAUGGGUGGGAUAUUUUUUCUCAUGACUUUUUAACUAUCUGGACCCAUAGGCUAUGACAUUCCCAUGCUGCAUUAAAACACAACUCAGACCUAAAUAGGAGGCAUCACUGUAAACUGUAUAUCCCCCCGAUCCACUCAGUAAGACCAGCACAAGUGCAGUAGUCAAUCGUUUCUUUAGUUCUGAAAAACUUCUUUCACAGUCCUCAUUCUACUCAAAUAUGGCAUUCUUCUUUGUUAGUCGGGUUAGGGGAGCAGCUAGAUUGGAAAAUCCUUCAACGAACCUGUGGUAAUAGCCCGCCAUUCCUAGAAAGCUACGGAUUUCUUUAACUGAUGUUAAUUUUUCCCAGCCGAGCACCGCUUCAACCUUUUCAGGAUUCACUGAUACUCCAUCCUUUGAUAUGAUGUGUCCUAAGAAGGUGGUAUGUUCAAGCCAAAAUCCACACUUACUCAACUUUGCAUACAUCUUUUUUCUUCUGAGAACCUGCAAAACCUAAGCUAGAUUGUGAGCAUGUUUCUCUCUGCUUUUUUAAUAGAGCAGGAUGUCAUCGAUGAACACGAUAACAAAUUGAUCUAAAAAUUGUCUGAAGACUCUUUUCAUCAGAUCCAUGAAGAUGGUUGGGGCGUUGGUUAACCUAAAUGGCAUGGCCAGAAACUCAUAGUGUCCGUACCUGAUUCAAAAAGCUGUCUUGGAGAUGUCUUCUGUCUUGAUAUUUAUCUGAUGGUAACCUGAACGUAGGUCUAUUUUAGAGAAGACCUGCGCACCCUGCAACUGAUCAAAGAGGUCAUCAGUUCUGAAAAAGGGGUACUUGUUCUUAAUUAUGACUCUGUUCAAUCCUCUGUAAUCGAUACAUAGUCCCAAUGUUCCAUCUCCCUUUCUGGCGAAAGUGACUCUGGCAUCCCAAGGGGACACACUAUGUCUGAUAAAACUAUUAUCCUGCAAUUCAGUGAUCUGUUUCCUAAGCUCCUCCAUCUCAACACGGCUCAUGCGAUAAGGAGUCACCAAAAUAGGCUGGGUGUCUGGUUGUAAAUCUAUGGUGAACUCGACUUUCCUAUCCACUGGCAGUCCGGAUAGUUCGUUUGGAAACACAUCUGAAAAGUCUCGGACUACCGGAAUCUCUUGAAUACAAUUCUCUUUCUUGGGUUUUUCUAGUUAGAAAAAUAACAAGGUUAAGGUACUCGACAAAUAAAAAAACUUGACAUCAAGGAAUAAGUACUAAAUGAUUUUAUUAAUUUGUAAAUGGCUCCUCAUUAGGAGAAUUGAAUACAACUUUCUUGCUAAAACAAUCUACGAUGGCGUGAUACGCCACUAGCCAAUUCAUUCCUAAAAUUACAUCGAAAUCCCCUGUGUCUAAUUCUAUUAGUUCCACACUCAAUUUUCUAUCUGCUAUCUCUAUGACACAAGCCCUGUAGAUAACUUCUCCCACUAGUGUCAUACUCCCAACAGUAGAUACAAACAGCAUAGAAUCAAGUAUAUCAUAUAAUACAUUAAAUUUGGAUGCAAAAAUAGGUGAAACAAAUGAAUGCGAUACACUAGUGUCAAUCAAAACAUGAGCAAGAUGAUUAUAGAUAGUAUACAUACCAUGUACCACACCUGGGUCGGCUUUGGCAUCCUGCUGGAUGAGGUUGUAAGUCCUGCCCUGGAUAGGAGAUCUGCCCUGAUUCUAGUUCCUGGGGCACUCUCUCGCAUAGUUUUGGGCACUACCACAUAUACGAUAAGCGUUGUUGAGGCGGUAGCAUAGUCGGUCCCCGUGAUCCCUACCACAAUGCUGACAGAUCUUACCACGUCCUGCCACUAGAGCAUGAGAGGGAGCCUGGAUCACCAGUUUGGGCCUCUUGUUCUAUUGGACAUACGCAGUAGGUGCUGGUCUGCAAGGUGGAGCUAAGGGUCUGUGGUUCCCUACUGACUGAGAGAAGGUGUGGAGGCUCCUCUCCACUAACUGUGCCUUGGCCAGAACGGCCGAAUAAGUUCUGAGCUCCAAUACAAACAAAUAUUGUUUGAUCUCUAGGCGGAGGCCCCAUUGGAACCUCCUAGCCUUCCUGCCCUCAUCCAACAACGUCUCAGGGGAGUAUCGGCUCAACUCUAGGAACUUACGAGUAUAUUCUGACACAGUCAUGUUCCUCUGGACCAAUUGGACAAACUCUAUCUCCUUCAGAUGUUGGAUGUACUCUGAGAGGUACUUUACAUGAAAGUCUGUUAGGAACUGUUCCCAAGUAACUGGAACAGGCAGGGUGGUCUACUUGAGUUCCCACCAGUUGUCUGCUUCUCCCACUAGCAUGUAGGUAGCAAGGGUGACCCUCUGCUCGGAAGUCACCCCUAGGGUCUUAAAGGUAUUCUCUGUCUCCGCCAACCAGUACUGGCAUCUUUAAAAGAGGAUUCUCCUAUAAAAGUAGAUGAGUUCAAUCUCAUGUACCUCUCUAUGUAGUCUGGGUCAAUCGUGGGGGAAACUAGGUCCCGUGAAAGAGGGACUGGGCCAGACUGAGGAUAGACUGGGAGGCUCUGUAGUGGUACUUGCUGAUACAGUGGAGGCACUGGAUUAUACUGUGGUGGUGCCGGGCAGUACUGCGGCUGGGGCACCGAAUUAUACUGCAAUUGUGCCAGGUGGUACUAUGGAGGAGCAUGAACAUACUGGGGUGGCUCGAGAUCCUCUUGCUACAGUGGUGGCUCAACCUGUGGCAGCAGGGGAGGGUUAGGUAGCUCCCUCCUCUCCUCUUGACCCUGUUAGGUAGCAAUGAGUCUCUCUAACAUCUCAAAUAUCUUGUCAACAUCUUCCCGAAGCGAAUAAUCCCGGGCUGCUCAGUUUAGUAGGGGUCUUCCUCUUCUCAUCUCUCUAUACCUACAUUUCACAAAGAAUGGUUAAGUGAUGAUUCAUUGGUUUGGUGUUUCUCUAAGUAUUAUUGUGUAAGGGACGGGUCCGAGGAACACGGCUCUAAUACCAACUGUAACGGUCCUGGAAAUUCAAAAGGAAAUAUAUAUAAUAAUCUGAGUGCGGAAACGAAAUAAAAAAUUAAGGUUAACAUCCCUUACACAAUAACUUAAAAGUACUAAACAACAUCACAGAAUAAAUUUUUUGAAAAAAAUACGAGAAAUGAGAAAAAUUAAGAAAACUAUAAAGUAUCUAGCAUCUACUCGCAGUCUUCUUUAGGAUCGGGCUCGGGAACCAGGUCCUCAUGAUCUGAAAUGAUUAAAUAAUGAAUGAGCUAUACUAGCCCAGUAAGGACAUCAUACUAUAUCACCGUCACAUAAGUAAAUGUUAGUAAAAAGUCAAAACAACCAAUGAAGCAGUAGAUUUAAACCAAUAUAUUUAUUUAAAAUAAAACCAUUUACCCUUUUUUCUUACCAUCGGAGAAUUUAUGAAAAAAAAUUAUAGAAGCAGUAAUAUCAUACAGAUCAUAAUUUCAUGCAUAAUCAGUAACAUAAAACAUAUCAUAAAUCCGUAUUCAUUAACAAUAACUGAUUAUCACUGUUUCUCGUUUUCACUAGGCUACUAGUAUCCAUGGUGAUCCAUAGGGGUGUCUCCGCUACACGUGAACCAUUCCCCUUAACAAUCUUAAUUCUUAGGCCGUCUCCAUACCUCAUCCGGUAUGAAUAUCAAGACAUUAAACCUCAAUACCCCGUCCGGUAUGAGACAACGUUCACGGUAGGAUUCCCUAUGAACCCGGUCCGUCCAGUAUCUCUCAGGAUAUCUAGUGAGGCUGUCACCUUAUCUGUUUUUCCGUAGUCUCC
rnacentral:lncRNA from 1 species